ACGGAAGGCAGCAGUGGGGAAUAUUGCACAAUGGGCGAAAGCCUGAUGCAGCGACGCCGCGUGAGUGAAGAAGUAUCUCGGUAUGUAAAGCUCUAUCAGCAGGGAAGAAAAUGACGGUACCUGACUAAGAAGCCCCGGCUAACUACGUGCCAGCAGCCGCGGUACUACGUAGGGGGCAAGCGUUAUCCGGAUUUACUGGGUGUAAAGGGAGCGUAGACGGUUUGGCAAGUCUGAAGUGAAAUGCGGGGGCUCAACUCCUGAACUGCUUUGGAAACUGUCGAACUAGAGUGCAGGAGAGGUAAGUGGAAUUCCUAGUGUAGCGGUGAAAUGCGUAGAUAUUAGGAGGAACACCAGUGGCGAAGGCGGCUUACUGGACUGUAACUGACGUUGAGGCUCGAAAGCGUGGGGAGCAAACAGGAUUAGAUACCCUGGUA
rnacentral:rRNA from 1 species